CUGGACUAUGAACUCCACGAGGCCUUGGUCUAUUGUCUUGACUAUUGUAUCCCCUGGUACAGAGGCUGGCACAGGAAUGGCACCCCAUAAGUGUCUGUUGAAUGAACGAAGACACAGAGAGGCGGUGCACGAAGAGGGACUUCUGUGUGGCUGACUGCCCUGGAAGCAGAGGGGAUGUUUGAGCCACAAGAUGCAAGGAGCCUGGGACCCUAAAUUACCAUGAGGAGAAAGCUGCAUGCCGGCCAGGAAGCCCCACACUGGAUUGUUAUAGAGAAACAUCGGGAAUGACAACACAAUGAGAUCAUGAUAAAAGGAAGCAACUAAACCUGACAGGUCACCUCCUCCUCUCGUUCUAGCAACCCAGCCUCUCAUAAGAACAAGGAAGAGCAAAGUGACAGCUUCCAGAGCAAAGGGGAGACAUCUCGCAGCUCUGAGUAGAUAAGCUUAGUGCUGGCUUCACACGGAGGGGCAAGACUCCGGACUCCGUAGGAUAACAAAGCUUUGUUUCCAAAUCAACUGUGAAUAUGAAGACCGAAGGAGAGCUGACCCAGGGCCCAUCGCAAAAGGGUUCAGAGAGACCACAGAUCUUUGCUGGCCAAAGUAUUAAAAAUAAAACAACAAAACCAAAGACCCUUCACAAGCAACUGAAAUCACAAGAAACUGAAAUGUAAAGGAGAAUGACUUGAGUUUGUCAGUAUCGCGAGAACUGAAAGGAGAUCCGCGCUGGCUCCUGGAAGUGUAUAACCAGGUUAGGAACAGUGGAGCUGAGAUUAACUCAGAUGCCCUUCAGAGGCUCCGAAUGGAAAACCAUGUUGAAAAGCAUAAAGUGCUCUCUGAUGUGAGGCAUUCUUGGGAUGUGCGGAAAUUAUUUUCAUUUGAAGGGAAA
rnacentral:lncRNA from 1 species